AGAGUUUGAUCCUGGCUCAGGACGAACGCUGGCGGCGUGCUUAACACAUGCAAGUCGAGCGGAAAGGCCCUUCGGGGUACUCGAGCGGCGAACGGGUGAGUAACACGUGAGUAACCUGCCCCAAUCUUUGGGAUAACCCUCGGAAACGGGGGCUAAUACCGGAUACGACAUUCCACCGCAUGGUGUGUUUGUGGAAAGAUUUUUCGGUUUGGGAUGGACUCGCGGCCUAUCAGCUUGUUGGUGGGGUGAUGGCCUACCAAGGCGACGACGGGUAGCCGGCCUGAGAGGGCGACCGGCCACACUGGGACUGAGACACGGCCCAGACUCCUACGGGAGGCAGCAGUGGGGAAUAUUGCACAAUGGGCGGAAGCCUGAUGCAGCGACGCCGCGUGAGGGAUGACGGCCUUCGGGUUGUAAACCUCUUUCAGCAGGGACGAAGCGUGAGUGACGGUACCUGCAGAAGAAGCGCCGGCCAACUACGUG
rnacentral:rRNA from 1 species